rnacentral:misc_RNA from 1 species
AAGGAUCAUUAAAUAAUUUAGAUGGCCUCCUAGAACUUGUUCUAGUUAGGUUCAUUCUUUUUUACUGUGAACUGUUUUAAUUUUCAGCGUUUGAGGAAUGUCUUUUAGUCAUAGGGAUAGACUAUUAGAAUGUUAACCGAGCUGAAGUCAGGUUUAGACCUGGUAUCCUAUUAAUUAUUUACCAAAAGAAUUCAGUAUUAUUAUUGUAACAUAAGCGUAAAAAACUUAUAAAACAACUUUUAACAACGGAUCUCUUGGUUCUC